UGGGGAAUAUUGGACAAUGGGCGAAAGCCUGAUCCAGCAAUGCCGCGUGAGUGAUGAAGGCCUUAGGGUUGUAAAGCUCUUUUACCCGGGAAGAUAAUGACUGUACCGGGAGAAUAAGCCCCGGCUAACUCCGUGCCAGCAGCCGCGGUAAUACGGAGGGGGCUAGCGUUGUUCGGAAUUACUGGGCGUAAAGCGUACGUAGGCGGCUUUGUAAGUUAGAGGUGAAAGCCUGGUGCUCAACACCAGAACUGCCUUUAAGACUGCAUCGCUUGAAUCGCGGAGAGGUGAGUGGAAUUCCGAGUGUAGAGGUGAAAUUCGUAGAUAUUCGGAAGAACACCAGUGGCGAAGGCGGCUCACUGGACGCGUAUUGACGCUGAGGUACGAAAGCGUGGGGAGCAAACA
rnacentral:rRNA from 1 species